GGUCAGUGAUGUCAUGUAAAAGGUCUGAAUUUCAGCCCCUCCCCCUUAGCCACCAUUUUGGCUCCCAGCAGCCCCUCUGUUCCCAUCAUGCUCUAGUGGUGCAGUGGUGGUCCCAGGAGCUGCUGACAGACAGGAAGUGACAUCACAAUGUGAGUCUGUACAGAGAUCGUAUAGGCUCAGUGUGAUGACUGACAUCCAACAGAACCAAUCACCAUGGAGCGUAAGGCUGAGGGGGCAGGGCUUGAGACAUGAUCUCGCUUUUCUACUGAGGCC
ensembl:scaRNA SCARNA6 small Cajal body-specific RNA 6